UACGUAGGGUGCGAGCGUUAAUCGGAAUUACUGGGCGUAAAGCGUGCGCAGGCGGUGAUGUAAGACCGAUGUGAAAUCCCCGGGCUUAACCUGGGAACUGCAUUGGUGACUGCAUCGCUCGAGUAUGGCAGAGGGGGUAGAAUUCCACGUGUAGCAGUGAAAUGCGUAGAGAUGUGGAGGAAUACCGAUGGCGAAGGCAG
rnacentral:rRNA from 1 species